GCAGUGGUGGUUCAGCAGUGGAAUUCUCCCCUUCCAUGCGGGAGACCUGGGUUCGAUUCCUGGCCAAUGCA
rnacentral:tRNA from 1 species